CUCGGAGCGACUCCUGGGGGGCCCGGAGCCCCCGGGCCGAGCGGAAUGAUGUCUCGGCGAGGCGGGACGGAUAAUGGCUCCUAAUGACGGGGCCGGCUGGCUCCUCAGCCGCGAUCUUCACGGGACAUUAUUUUUAAGCGUUCGGCGAGGCUCAUUUUUCACGCCUCGCUGCCUAAAGGAGGCUUUUAUUUAUUUAUUGGGGGAGGCGUGGAGGACACCGGCAAUAACCGAGCACUGAAAGGAAAAUAAUUAGCCGUUGCACUCGCUGCUCGGGGGUCCCUGGCCAAAAAAACGACCCGGCAUUUCCCUCCCCUCUCCUUCGUAGGAUGGAGGCGAAUCCUUCCACUUCUCGCUGCCGCUCUCGGGGUUGUUUUGCGGGACCCGCAGCGGCUCCGCACUCACCGCAGGGCCCGAUCCUUCGCUGCUGCUUCGGGAUUUUCCCUUCUCCCCGCGUUGCUCGGCUCGCCCCGAACGAAAAUGUAUCUACCUGGCUCGCAGAAACUGCCGUUAAGCACCACGGGCAUCUCAGCCAGCGGCUCGCUGCUUUCCCCGCGGCCGUUUCGCUGUGACUGCGGAGAAAUUCCCGUUUUCACGGUGCAUUUAAGUUUUAACGAUAACGUCCAGUGCUCCCCGAACCCCAGCGCCCGCUCUGAAAUCACUUUCCUGCCUCCUAACUUGGCGAAAUAACUGCCCGGCGGCACCUCCUUUCCCUUCCCAUCUCCCUUUCGUUUCUGUCCUCCCCCGGGUCAGAAAGUGUGGAAACGAGAUUAUCCAAAAUUGCGAGGAUGGCGGGAGGAGCUCUCGCAGCCGCAUCAGCCGCAGCAAAACUGCUCUGGAAAUGAAGUUCGUGCUUUAGAAAUGCUCCCGGAGAUGCCCGGGGCCCCGCGCUCGCUCUUCUCCGUCUGCCCGGCUCGAGGGGAGCGGCCGCGGCCGGGAUGCGGCGGGAGAGCCCGGAAUGAGCAGCGCGAGCAACCCGUGCUGCUUCGCUUCCCUUUUCUCUUUCUCGUCCUCUCAGUAGUUUUUUGUCUUUCUUUCUUACUUUCUCUAU
ensembl:lncRNA